ACGUCGGUGCCGUGGCUGUGGUCGCUCCUGUGGGGAGCGGGCAUGGGCGUGUUCCCGAUCGCGCUCGGCCUG
rnacentral:tRNA from 1 species